GAUCAAGUUUCUUCAUCAUCAUCAAAUGGUGAUACUAGCCACCAACCUAAGAGCUUUCGAAAUUUGACUCGGAUCACUGUUACAAAUUGUAAAAAUUUGAACAGUCUCUUUCCUUUUGGAUUAUUUCCUGUUCUUUCAAAGCUUGAAAGUCUCAUAGUUGAAAGGAAUUCUAAAUUGGAACAAGUAUUCGAAUUAGAAGAAAAAGUGGAAGUGGUAGCUAAAGAGAAGAUGAAAUUUUAUAACUUAGAAAGGUUAUUACUUGAAGAACUACCUGGCCUCAUUCAGUUUUGUCCCAAAGGAUAUCAUUUUGUAUUCCCAAAAAUGAUGGAGUUGAAAGUAAGAGAUUGCCCUAAGUUAACUACUGGUUUCUUCAUUGAUUCACAGGCAUUUGUACAUUGCAAAACAAAGGUAUAUAUCCUACAACCCUUUAUUCCUACUUUAUUCUAUGUAAUUAUAACAAUUACAACUAAAGGCAUAACAUGCAAAAUUUUUAAUUAAAUUCCUUAAGUGUAUAUGCGUUUCAUAUUUUUUUCCUUGAUGACAUGAGAUUAAAGUUUUAGUUAUAAUUGUUUCUUUAAUUGAUUUCUAAGGUACCUUAUUUGGUUGAGCAAGAUGCGGUUGAAGAAUCUACCACUGUUCAAAAUGCAAUUUUCAACGAGAAUAUAGAUUGGAGCCGAUGGUUGCGUAAGAGUCAACUACCACACAUUACAUGAAAGAAUGGAUGAUUUUAGGGUAGCUUUCAGAGCCAUGUUACAUCAGUAGGUGGAGCAAUGUUGCUCAGAUGUUUUUAGUUAAUUGUCUGAUAUAAUUUGUGUAUGAUAGAACAUGACCUUUACCGGCGUUUUCCCACAAACGUCGCUAUAAAACAUGACAUGUAGCGAUGCUUUUCCGACAAACGUAACUAAAAAACAUGACCUUUAAAAAAAAUUUCAUUAAAUAAUAUUUAUUUCUAUGAUAAAAUAUUUUAUUUUGUUUUAUUUUUAAAAUUUAAACUUUAAACUAUAUACUAAAUAAAAAAAAUAUUAAUUAAAUUAAAUUUUCUAUUAAAAUUUUAACUUUAAAACUAAAUAUAAAAAUUAAUAAAUUGAAAUUUAGAAUUUAAAUAUUAUGUUUUUAAUUCAAAGUUCAACUUUUGGCACACCUUACAAACAUGGGCUCUAAACAAGGAGAAAGAUUGCAUCUCGGGCACAAAAAUCAAAACAGUACAAAGGUAAUAUCUUCAAUAAUUUUACCGAUAAUAUCGAUACGGUAUAAUUUUAUCAAUAUUUAUGUAAUGACCUAAUAUUGCCCGGUCCAAUAUAAAAUAAUAAAACAACCCAAUUUAUUUUUACAAACCCAAAUUUAAAGCCCAAACUCACUACCUAAUAUAGACUCUAACCCAAAACACUAAACCUAAAACUCAAAUUAACCCCGAGCCCAAUAAAGUAAACCUAGUUAAACCUAGCCCUGUAAACAAACUAAGCCUGCAGAAACCCUAGCCUACAAGCCUCCAGCGCGCCGCUCCUUCCCCACGUGAGCCUCUGCCUCCAGAUUGGCUGCAUCCUUGCAAAGAAAUAACAGAAUAAUAGAAAAAUAAUUAGAGAAAAUAGCAAAUUUGUAAAACGGAUACUGGAUACGAAAAUAUAAAAAACAAAUAAACUAGCUUUGUUAUUUCAAGAUGAUUUUUCAGAUUCUAUCUUUUUUUUUUUUGCUCUUGGUUUUAUCAUCUUUUUAUUAAAAUAUAAAACGAAAGGAAGGAGGAGAGAAGAUUUACCUCUACUAGUCCGCCGUCGGCCUUUGUCUGCUCUGUUAAUAUCAGAGUUGAAGGGGCUGUUGUUUCGGCUGGGAACGGCGGAGAGAGGAUAGCCUAGGGUUUGGUUUUAUUUUCCUUAGAAGUGAAAAAAUAAUUCUGAUUAGGUUUUGGUUUGGGAUUUUAUAAAGUAAUAAAAACGACAUCGUUUGAGACCUGCUUCAGUGGCCCCAAAACGGCAUCGUAUAAGAGCAUACCCGACUGACCCGACCCAGAGGCGGCUGAGAUCCGCGUGUUGUGGCCCUGCUAGGGUUAUUUUCGAAUUUGGUCCUCCCUCUUUCAUAGUGAUUUCGAAUCAGUUUUUCUUUAUUUGUAAAUUCCAUACUGCAUUUUGCUUUUGUUUCAUUUUGGCCCAGGCUGUACGUCGCGUUUUGGAGGGACAGGGGUUAUUUCCCCAUUGGUCCCCCAUAUUAUUAGCACACUGCAUUUUGUCCCCUCGAUUUUAUUUUAUUUGCGAAUUUUCUCUUUAAUUUGGUUUCAAAUCCAAUUUAAUCUUAUUUUUUUUAUUGGAUUAAAUGCAUAUUGUUUUCUAUAUAUUUAGUUUUAAAUCAAAUAUUUCCAUAUGGUUUAAGAUUAGUGAUAUUAUUUGAAUUUAUCACCAAAAUCAUUAACAUUGUUUAUAUUUAUCUUUGUAGUUGUUUUUUAUUUAUCAUAUAUUACAAUUUUAAGUUUUCGUUUAUUAUUACUUAGAUUUAACAUAUUUUAUGAUUCGUAUAUUCUUUUGAUAUAGUUUUUUUAAUCUUUUAUUUAUUUUUUUAAAUUCUCUUUUAUAUUCCUAUAUUCCAAAAGUUAUAAUAAUACUUUCAUACCAUACUAUCAUAUACAUGCAAUUUUGAUUUUUUUUUUUUAUUUCAUGAACAGAUUAUUGUUUUCCUAUUAUUAUAAGGGCAAACUACCAAAAAUAGUUACUUUUGUUUGCCCUAGGUUACAUUUUAGUCACUUAUGUUUGGAAUAUUACUUUUUAGUCACUUACGUUAUCGUGUUGUAACAUUUUAGUCACUGAGUCGUUAAUUGCCAACAAUGGUGUAACGGUAAGCUGAUGUGGCAUGUUAAAUCAUCAUUUCAAACAAAAAUUUUAGGUUAAAUUCUACAAUUGGUCCCUAUAUUUUUUCAUUUUAAACAAUUUUAAAAUUUUCUUUUAAGUUCUUUUAAAAUUUUUUUCCAUUCUCUUUUGCUUCUACCUCUAUUUUCCUCCCUUCUUCAUUUCUUUUAACAUAGUUUUUCUAUGUUUUCCAUUUGUAACUAGUCCACAAGCUCGCCUCACUCAAAUUCAUUUUUAUGUUCAUAAAAUAAUUAAUAUUUCAACCUUUUUUUAAAAGUUAUUUAUAGUUCAUUUAUUUUAAAAUUGAAUCAGCAAUUAGAAUUCUAUCACUCUCAUCGGCUAUUACCAUGAGUAUUGUAUUUUUAUUUUUUUAAUAGUCAUAAUUAUUUAUUUUAAAGUGGUUGGAGUAUCACAGUUGCGAAAUAUGAUAAAUACAUUUCUUUACAUAUGUUUUGAUAAAGAAAUUCUUUAAAACUUUGCUUAUUUCCAUUCUCAUGCACACAAAGUCACACACCUUUGUUUUGUUUCAUACUCUUCUUUUUCUUCUCUUUCACAUGCUUGCUUUUACGUAUCACAUAUAUAUGAAACCUAUUUAUAGGCUUAUAAAAUGCAUUAUGAAUUGUUCUCUCAUUUUUAUUUAGAUUUUAACUAUUGAAAUAUGUGUUUGCAAACACUUUAUCUCAGGGAUUUCCAUUGUUGGAAUCUAUUUACCUAAGUAACUGCCCUCAACUACUACAUGUCUUCAAGGUCAGUUUGAUAUUGUUAACUUACAAUAUGUUUUGUAUAAUUAGGAAUUUCCUUUAGAUUGCUAACUUACAAGGUCAGUUUGAUAUUGUUAAAAAAACUCACAUUUUAGUGUCAAAGGAAGUAUUCAUUCUCUAGAGCACUAAAUUGAUAUGGAGACCUGUUCCAUAUUUAUUAUAUUGGCAACUUAUUGAAUGACUUUUAUGGGGUAUGAUUGAGUCUAUGAUUGAUAUCUAGACCAUUUUAGAAGAUCAUAUCACUUAAGAGAUUAUCUUUUGGAGAUUGAAUUGAUUUGAAAUUACCUAAGAUAAUCCCUUGAAUCAUGGACUUUGAUUUGGUUUGUGAUUCUAUCUAUGGUUGAAUCAUGUUUGUAAUCUCCUUGUGACGAGGACACCAAUGUAACUUGGAUACCACUUAUUGGAAGUGUAGUAGUGACUAAGGAAAUUAACUUUUAUUACUCAAAACAAAUAUACUUACACAAAAUACAAAUAUAUUUUCCCCUCUCUCAAUUUCUAGUUACCACUAGUUAUACACUCACAAUUCACUCUUUGCGUAUUUCCGCUAUUGUGCACACAAACUCACACACAUUUCUUUCAUUUCUUACUCUUUCUUUUUCUUCAUAUCACAAAUAUAUGAAACCUUAUUAUAGGCUCAAAAACCACCUCAUCAAUUGCCACCUCUCUCAUUUUAUGUUUAUUUUAUUUAUUUAUUUAUUUAUGUAUAAGCCUUCAAUUAAUUCCAUGCCACCUUGACUUUUGCCCAUGGAUUGCCCACUUAUAAGGUUUGUUUGACUUCAACACAAUUUACAUGAUAGAAGAAUGUAAUUAUUUAUAUAGAAGGAAAUUCUAUCUUUUAUUUAAUUUAUAAUAAUGCUUUAAUAUUUUUAUAAUUUAAAAUAAAUAUUUGCAUUUAAGUUGCUAAUGAUGUUUUAGUCUAAUAACAAAAAUAUUAUAUCGUAGAUAUGAACAAACAAUUUCGUUCUGCAUUCCUAAUUAUAAAAAAUAAAUUUAAUUUUCUUUAUUUCGAUUGUGCGUUUUAUAAACAGCUAUAAAAGAAACUAAAAGAAACUAAGCAGCAUAUACAUGUUUUUAUAUUUUAUCUUUUAAUUAAUAAUCUAUUUUUAUAUUGAUAUGCUCAAUUUUUUAUAAUAAAAGAAAUAACUUACUAAGAUGUGUGUUUGAAACAUGUAGAAUGACUCUUCUCUUUGUUGUUGGCCGAAAUUGAGGAGUCUUCGCAUACAAUUUUGCCCAAAUUUGAAAUAUGUUUGUGCGACCACUUGGACUCAAGGGCUUCAAUCCUUGGAAUAUGUUUACAUAACAGAAUGUUCUCAACUUAUACAAGUCUUCAACAUGGAGCAAAAUAAGCAUGGACAAGAUAUUGUGCUUCCUGAACUUGGGUCACAGGUACUUCUGUAUUUACAUUUUUAAAGCUGAGCAAAGAGUUGAAAAAAUUGAAAGUUAAUAUGAAUUGUAGUGUUCAAUUCAAUUUUUUUAUUGAGUUUAAAUCAAAUAAAACAUGCACGUACCAUAUGACAACCAUUUAAAAAUAUAAAAAGUUAUAAUUUAAAAAUUAAAUUACAACUAUAUGUUUUUAAAAUUAGUAUAUCAAAUUAAUUUAUAAAUUUUUAUUAUCAAAUACUAAUAUACUGUAAUAUUCAUAUUAUAAAUAGUAAAAAUUAAAAUAGAGAAAUAUUAUAUAUUUAUUUUCUAUUGAUGUUAAGCUUUAAUAUAUUUAUUUAUAUUUUAUAUUUAUUUAAUAUAAUAAUGAUUAUUUAAAUUAUAUUUUAGAAAAUUAUUAAAUUAAUUUACCAUUAAAUGAUUUUUUUUUGCAAGGCUACCAUAUUUUAAUUUGAUAAUUUAUGUGAGAUAUUAAAACAGUGAGAUAUUAAUUUACCAUCAAAUAAUUUAUGAUUAUUUAAAUAUAAUUAUUUAAAUUAUAUUUUGAGAUAUUUGUUUUAGAAAAUGCAUCAAGAAUUGUUGUCUCUCAUUUUUAUUUAGAUUUUAUCUAUUUAUAGAAAAGCCUUUAAUUAAUUCCAUGCCACUUUAUUCUACCUUUAGAUUGCUAACUUACAAGGUCAGUUUGAUAUUGUUGAAAAAUAUCAAACUCGCAUUAUUUUAAUGUCAAAGGAAGUAUUCAUUCCCUAAAGCACCAAAUUGAUAUGGAGACCUUUGAGUUAUCUUUUGGAGAUUGGAUUAAUUUAAAAGCCCAAGACAAUCUCUUGGAUCAUAGACUUUGAGUUAGCUUAUUGCUUUUUUGGGGAGACACCAUGUGCAUCUAACCAUUGGUAUGCUAAAAGAAACUAAGCUGCAUAUACAUGUUUUUAUAUUUUAUCUUUUAAUUAAUAAUCUAUUUUUAUAUUGUUAUGCUCAAUUUUUUUAUAAUAAAAUAAAUAACUUACUAAGAUGUCUGUUUGAUACAUGUAGAAUGACUCCCCUCUUUGUUGUUGGCCGAAAUUGAGGAUUCUUCACAUAGAAUUUUGCCCAAAAUUGAAAUAUGUUUGUGCAAACACUUGGACUCGAGGGCUUCAAUCCUUGGAAUCUGUUUUCAUUAGAGAUUGUUCUCAACUUAUACAAGUCUUCAACAUGGAACAAAAUAAGCAUGGACAAGAUAUUGUGCUUCCUGAACUUGGAUCACAGGUACUUCUGUAUUUACAUUUUUAAGGCUGAGCAAAGACUUGAAAAAAUUGAAAAUUAAUUUGAAUUGUAGGGUUCAAUUCAAUUUUUUAUUGAGUUUAAAUCAAAUAGAACAUGCACGUACCAUAUGACAACCAUUUAAAAAUAUAAAAAGUUAUAAUUUAAAAAUUAAAUUACAACUAUAUGUUUUUAAAAUUAGUAUAUCAAAUUAAUUUAAAAUUUUUAUUAUCAAAUACUAAUAUACUAUAAUAUUCAUAUUAUAAAUAAUUCAUGCAUAAUUAUAAAUAGUAAAAAUUAAAAUAGAGAAAUAUUAUAUAUUUAUUUUCUAUUGAUGUUAAGAUUUAAUAUAUUUAUUUAAUAUAGUAAUGAUUAUUUAAAUUAUAUUUUAGAAAAUUGUUAAAUUAAUUUACCAUUAUAUGAUUUGUUUUUGCAAGAUUACCAUAUUUUAAUUUGAUAAUUCAUGUGAGAUAUUAAAACAGUGUUUGUAUAAAUAUAUAUUGAUAUCAUUGUAGAAUGAAUUUAUUUGAGUAGUGGUUAGUUCUACCUAAUAAAUAUUAUUUGAUGGCAAGAAUUUUGGUAAAUUUAACUAAUAAAUAUUGAUAUCAUUGACGGAAUUGAGGUGCAUAUGGAAUGAAUCGAAUCAUUGCGUUAACCUCUAUAGUCUGAUGACUAUUAGAAUAACUUAUCAAAGUCCAUUUUUAGAUAUUAAUAUUUUUAUUCAAAACUUCGGGUUGGAUUAAAAAAAAUUGUUUUCAUAAUUCUUUGAUUUAAAAGUUGAACGAGUAUCAGAGUUCAAUCUCUCUCAUCGACUUUUACAAUGAAUAUUGUAUUUUUAUAUUUUAAUUGUCAUGAUUAAUGAUUUUGAAGUGGUUGGGGCAUCACAGUUUCAAAAUAUAAUAAAUGUAUCUCUUUAUAAUUGGUACAUUCAAAGAUCAAUUGAUUUCUUUUUCUCAUGUUUUGGUAAAGAAAUUCUUUAAAAAUUAAAUUAUGUUUAAUAAAUCAUAUUCCUCAUUUUUAUUUAAACAAAUAUAUUUUGUAUAAUAUUUAAUUAUGUGGCUCAUUCAUGUAGAAUCAUUGCUGGACAAAACUGAAAACUCUCCAGAUAGAGGAUUGCCAACUAUUGAAAUAUGUGUUUGCAAACACUUUAUCUCAGGGAUUUCCAUUGUUGGAAUCUCUUUACCUAAAGAAUUUCCCUCAACUACUACAAGUCUUCAGUUCGACAGAAGAAAGGGAUGUGAUUGGUGAUCACAUUCUACUUAAUGUGCCCUUUCUGAAAAAUUUAGAAGUGUCAAAUUGUCCCCAAAUCUCAUGCUUCAUUGUACAAGCUCAGCUCAUAGAGGUAUUUAGAUUGUUCGCAUUUUAUAUAUGGAUUUUGGCACUAUAGCAAAUCAGUAAAUCGAUAUGUUGCUUAGUUUAUGUGAUAAUUCAUUCCUAUUUUAUACAUAGUUUGAAAAUGAAUUCCAUUGUUCACUCUUUAAAUAAAAAUGUAUCAAGCAAUGGCCUUUUGUGUUUAAUUAAUUUGGAAGAUAUUUUAGGGGUUUAGAUUUUAAAAAUAUAUCCUUUAAAAAAAAUCAAAGAUACAUGUAGCAUUGAGAUUAGAGAAGUAGUAUUUUCUAUUACUUGGAAUAUGUAAAAUUAUGAAGACUUAUGGGUAACAUUUACUCUAGUGUGUUUUUAUGACAUUUAUUAGGAUUUCUAUGUAUGCAGGAAUUGGUUCUUAGUAACGUGGGAAAUAGCCGCCAAUUAUGCAACACUGAUGUUCCUGUAUUGAAUGAAGGCUGUAUAGUAGUUGGGAAUCAUGAAGAAGUAUUUCAAGUUCAAGGCGGGUACUCGUUCUCAAGCAUAAAAAAAUUGAAAUUGAGGAAUUUAUUUGAAGCACGGGUUAUAUGGAACGAUUUUGCUCAAGUUGUAACCCUUGAGAACCUUACAACUCUAACACUGAGUGAUUGCAAGAAGCUAAGAUAUAUUUUUUCACCUAUGAUGGCUCGCAGUUUAUCACAUUUGGUGGAUCUUUUCAUCGAGGGGUGUGAGGAAAUAGAACGAAUCAUUUUAGCCAAGGAUCAAGUUUCUUCAUCAUCAUCAAAUGGUGAUACUAGCCACCAACCUAAGAGCUUUCGAAAUUUGACUCGGAUCACUGUUACAAAUUGUAAAAAUUUGAACAGUCUCUUUCCUUUUGGAUUAUUUCCUGUUCUUUCAAAGCUUGAAAGUCUCAUAGUUGAAAGGAAUUCUAAAUUGGAACAAGUAUUCGAAUUAGAAGAAAAAGUGGAAGUGGUAGCUAAAGAGAAGAUGAAAUUUUAUAACUUAGAAAGGUUAUUACUUGAAGAACUACCUGGCCUCAUUCAGUUUUGUCCCAAAGGAUAUCAUUUUGUAUUCCCAAAAAUGAUGGAGUUGAAAGUAAGAGAUUGCCCUAAGUUAACUACUGGUUUCUUCAUUGAUUCACAGGCAUUUGUACAUUGCAAAACAAAGGUAUAUAUCCUACAACCCUUUAUUCCUACUUUAUUCUAUGUAAUUAUAACAAUUACAACUAAAGGCAUAACAUGCAAAAUUUUUAAUUAAAUUCCUUAAGUGUAUAUGCGUUUCAUAUUUUUUUCCUUGAUGACAUGAGAUUAAAGUUUUAGUUAUAAUUGUUUCUUUAAUUGAUUUCUAAGGUACCUUAUUUGGUUGAGCAAGAUGCGGUUGAAGAAUCUACCACUGUUCAAAAUGCAAUUUUCAACGAGAAUAUAGAUUGGAGCCGAUGGUUGCGUAAGAGUCAACUACCACACAUUACAUGAAAGAAUGGAUGAUUUUAGGGUAGCUUUCAGAGCCAUGUUACAUCAGUAGGUGGAGCAAUGUUGCUAAGAUGUUUUUAGUUAAUUGUCUGAUAUAAUUUGUGUAUGAUAGAACAUGACCUUUACCGGCGUUUUCCCACAAACGUCGCUAUAAAACAUGACAUGUAGCGAUGCUUUUCCGACAAACGUAACUAAAAAACAUGACCUUUAAAAAAAAUUUAAUUAAAUAAUAUUUAUUUCUAUGAUAAAAUAUUUUAUUUUGUUUUAUUUUUAAAAUUUAAACUUUAAACUAUAUACUAAAUAAAAAAAUAUUAAUUAAAUUAAAUUUUCUAUUAAAAUUUUAACUUUAAAACUAAAUAUAAAAAUUAAUAAAUUGAAAUUUAGAAUUUAAAUAUUAUGUUUUUAAUUCAAAGUUCAACUUUUGGCACACCUUACAAACAUGGGCUCUAAACAAGGAGAAAGAUUGCAUCUCGGGCACAAAAAUCAAAACAGUACAAAGGUAAUAUCUUCAAUAAUUUUACCGAUAAUAUCGAUACGGUAUAAUUUUAUCAAUAUUUAUGUAAUGACCUAAUAUUGCCCGGUCCAAUAUAAAAUAAUAAAACAACCCAAUUUAUUUUUACAAACCCAAAUUUAAAGCCCAAACUCACUACCUAAUAUAGACUCUAACCCAAAACACUAAACCUAAAACUCAAAUUAACCCCGAGCCCAAUAAAGUAAACCUAGUUAAACCUAGCCCUGUAAACAAACUAAGCCUGCAGAAACCCUAGCCUACAAGCCUCCAGCGCGCCGCUCCUUCCCCACGUGAGCCUCUGCCUCCAGAUUGGUUGCAUCCUUGCAAAGAAAUAACAGAAUAAUAGAAAAAUAAUUAGAGAAAAUAGCAAAUUUGUAAAACGGAUACUGGAUACGAAAAUAUAAAAAACAAAUCAACUAGCUUUGUUAUUUCAAGAUGAUUUUUCAGAUUCUAUCUUUUUUUUUUUUUGCUCUUGGUUUUAUCAUCUUUUUAUUAAAAUAUAAAACGAAAGGAAGGAGGAGAGAAGAUUUACCUCUACUAGUCCGCCGUCGGCCUUUGUCUGCUCUGUUAAUAUCAGAGUUGAAGGGGCUGUUGUUUCGGCUGGGAACGGCGGAGAGAGGAUAGCCUAGGGUUUGGUUUUAUUUUCCUUAGAAGUGAAAAAAUAAUUCUGAUUAGGUUUUGGUUUGGGAUUUUAUAAAGUAAUAAAAACGACAUCGUUUGAGACCUGCUUCAGUGGCCCCAAAACGGCAUCGUAUAAGAGCAUACCCGACUGACCCGACCCAGAGGCGGCUGAGAUCCGCGUGUUGUGGCCCUGCUAGGGUUAUUUUCGAAUUUGGUCCUCCCUCUUUCAUAGUGAUUUCGAAUCAGUUUUUCUUUAUUUGUAAAUUCCAUACUGCAUUUUGCUUUUGUUUCAUUUUGGCCCAGGCUGUACGUCGCGUUUUGGAGGGACAGGGGUUAUUUCCCCAUUGGUCCCCCAUAUUAUUAGCACACUGCAUUUUGUCCCCUCGAUUUUAUUUUAUUUGCGAAUUUUCUCUUUAAUUUGGUUUCAAAUCCAAUUUAAUCUUAUUUUUUUUAUUGGAUUAAAUGCAUAUUGUUUUCUAUAUAUUUAGUUUUAAAUCAAAUAUUUCCAUAUGGUUUAAGAUUAGUGAUAUUAUUUGAAUUUAUCACCAAAAUCAUUAACAUUGUUUAUAUUUAUCUUUGUAGUUGUUUUUUUAUUUAUCAUAUAUUACAAUUUUAAGUUUUCGUUUAUUAUUACUUAGAUUUAACAUAUUUUAUGAUUCGUAUAUUCUUUUGAUAUAGUUUUUUUAAUCUUUUAUUUAUUUUUUUAAAUUCUCUUUUAUAUUCCUAUAUUCCAAAAGUUAUAAUAAUACUUUCAUACCAUACUAUCAUAUACAUGCAAUUUUGAUUUUUUUUUUUAUUUCAUGAACAGAUUAUUGUUUUCCUAUUAUUAUAAGGGCAAACUACCAAAAAUAGUUACUUUUGUUUGCCCUAGGUUACAUUUUAGUCACUUAUGUUUGGAAUAUUACUUUUUAGUCACUUACGUUAUCGUGUUGUAACAUUUUAGUCACUGAGUCGUUAAUUGCCAACAAUGGUGUAACGGUAAGCUGAUGUGGCAUGUUAAAUCAUCAUUUCAAACAAAAAUUUUAGGUUAAAUUCUACAAUUGGUCCCUAUAUUUUUUCAUUUUAAACAAUUUUAAAAUUUUCUUUUAAGUUCUUUUAAAAAAUUUUUCCAUUCUCUUUUGCUUCUACCUCUAUUUUCCUCCCUUCUUCAUUUCUUUUAACAUAGUUUUUCUAUGUUUUCCAUUUGUAACUAGUCCACAAGCUCGCCUCACUCAAAUUCAUUUUUAUGUUCAUAAAAUAAUUAAUAUUUCAACCUUUUUUUAAAAGUUAUUUAUAGUUCAUUUAUUUUAAAAUUGAAUCAGCAAUUAGAAUUCUAUCACUCUCAUCGGCUAUUACCAUGAGUAUUGUAUUUUUAUUUUUUUAAUAGUCAUAAUUAUUUAUUUUAAAGUGGUUGGAGUAUCACAGUUGCGAAAUAUGAUAAAUACAUUUCUUUACAUAUGUUUUGAUAAAGAAAUUCUUUAAAACUUUGCUUAUUUCCAUUCUCAUGCACACAAAGUCACACACCUUUGUUUUGUUUCAUACUCUUCUUUUUCUUCUCUUUCACAUGCUUGCUUUUACGUAUCACAUAUAUAUGAAACCUAUUUAUAGGCUUAUAAAAUGCAUUAUGAAUUGUUCUCUCAUUUUUAUUUAGAUUUUAACUAUUGAAAUAUGUGUUUGCAAACACUUUAUCUCAGGGAUUUCCAUUGUUGGAAUCUAUUUACCUAAGUAACUGCCCUCAACUACUACAUGUCUUCAAGGUCAGUUUGAUAUUGUUAACUUACAAUAUGUUUUGUAUAAUUAGGAAUUUCCUUUAGAUUGCUAACUUACAAGGUCAGUUUGAUAUUGUUAAAAAAACUCACAUUUUAGUGUCAAAGGAAGUAUUCAUUCUCUAGAGCACUAAAUUGAUAUGGAGACCUGUUCCAUAUUUAUUAUAUUGGCAACUUAUUGAAUGACUUUUAUGGGGUAUGAUUGAGUCUAUGAUUGAUAUCUAGACCAUUUUAGAAGAUCAUAUCACUUAAGAGAUUAUCUUUUGGAGAUUGAAUUGAUUUGAAAUUACCUAAGAUAAUCCCUUGAAUCAUGGACUUUGAUUUGGUUUGUGAUUCUAUCUAUGGUUGAAUCAUGUUUGUAAUCUCCUUGUGACGAGGACACCAAUGUAACUUGGAUACCACUUAUUGGAAGUGUAGUAGUGACUAAGGAAAUUAACUUUUAUUACUCAAAACAAAUAUACUUACACAAAAUACAAAUAUAUUUUCCCCUCUCUCAAUUUCUAGUUACCACUAGUUAUACACUCACAAUUCACUCUUUGCGUAUUUCCGCUAUUGUGCACACAAACUCACACACAUUUCUUUCAUUUCUUACUCUUUCUUUUUCUUCAUAUCACAAAUAUAUGAAACCUUAUUAUAGGCUCAAAAACCACCUCAUCAAUUGCCACCUCUCUCAUUUUAUGUUUAUUUUAUUUAUUUAUUUAUUUAUGUAUAAGCCUUCAAUUAAUUCCAUGCCACCUUGACUUUUGCCCAUGGAUUGCCCACUUAUAAGGUUUGUUUGACUUCAACACAAUUUACAUGAUAGAAGAAUGUAAUUAUUUAUAUAGAAGGAAAUUCUAUCUUUUAUUUAAUUUAUAAUAAUGCUUUAAUAUUUUUAUAAUUUAAAAUAAAUAUUUGCAUUUAAGUUGCUAAUGAUGUUUUAGUCUAAUAACAAAAAUAUUAUAUCGUAGAUAUGAACAAACAAUUUCGUUCUGCAUUCCUAAUUAUAAAAAAUAAAUUUAAUUUUCUUUAUUUCGAUUGUGCGUUUUAUAAACAGCUAUAAAAGAAACUAAAAGAAACUAAGCAGCAUAUACGUGUUUUUAUAUUUUAUCUUUUAAUUAAUAAUCUAUUUUUAUAUUGAUAUGCUCAAUUUUUUAUAAUAAAAGAAAUAACUUACUAAGAUGUGUGUUUGAAACAUGUAGAAUGACUCUUCUCUUUGUUGUUGGCCGAAAUUGAGGAGUCUUCGCAUACAAUUUUGCCCAAAUUUGAAAUAUGUUUGUGCGACCACUUGGACUCAAGGGCUUCAAUCCUUGGAAUAUGUUUACAUAACAGAAUGUUCUCAACUUAUACAAGUCUUCAACAUGGAGCAAAAUAAGCAUGGACAAGAUAUUGUGCUUCCUGAACUUGGGUCACAGGUACUUCUGUAUUUACAUUUUUAAAGCUGAGCAAAGAGUUGAAAAAAUUGAAAGUUAAUAUGAAUUGUAGUGUUCAAUUCAAUUUUUUUAUUGAGUUUAAAUCAAAUAAAACAUGCACGUACCAUAUGACAACCAUUUAAAAAUAUAAAAAGUUAUAAUUUAAAAAUUAAAUUACAACUAUAUGUUUUUAAAAUUAGUAUAUCAAAUUAAUUUAUAAAUUUUUAUUAUCAAAUACUAAUAUACUGUAAUAUUCAUAUUAUAAAUAGUAAAAAUUAAAAUAGAGAAAUAUUAUAUAUUUAUUUUCUAUUGAUGUUAAGCUUUAAUAUAUUUAUUUAUAUUUUAUAUUUAUUUAAUAUAAUAAUGAUUAUUUAAAUUAUAUUUUAGAAAAUUAUUAAAUUAAUUUACCAUUAAAUGAUUUUUUUUGCAAGGCUACCGUAUUUUAAUUUGAUAAUUUAUGUGAGAUAUUAAAACAGUGAGAUAUUAAUUUACCAUUAAAUAGUUUAUGAUUAUUUAAAUAUAAUUAUUUAAAUUAUAUUUUGAGAUAUUUGUUUUAGAAAAUGCAUCAAGAAUUGUUGUCUCUCAUUUUUAUUUAGAUUUUAUCUAUUUAUAGAAAAACUUUUAAUUAAUUCCAUGCCACUUAUUCUACCUUUAGAUUGCUAACUUACAAGGUCAGUUUGAUAUUGUUGAAAAAUAUCAAACUCGCAUUAUUUUAAUGUCAAAGGAAGUAUUCAUUCCCUAAAGCACCAAAUUGAUAUGGAGACCUUUGAGUUAUCUUUUGGAGAUUGGAUUAAUUUAAAAGCCCAAGACAAUCUCUUGGAUCAUAGACUUUGAGUUAGCUUAUUGCUUUUUUGGGGAGACACCAUGUGCAUCUAACCAUUGGUAUGCUAAAAGAAACUAAGCUGCAUAUACAUGUUUUUAUAUUUUAUCUUUUAAUUAAUAAUCUAUUUUUAUAUUGUUAUGCUCAAUUUUUUUAUAAUAAAAUAAAUAACUUACUAAGAUGUCUGUUUGAUACAUGUAGAAUGACUCCCCUCUUUGUUGUUGGCCGAAAUUGAGGAUUCUUCACAUAGAAUUUUGCCCAAAAUUGAAAUAUGUUUGUGCAAACACUUGGACUCGAGGGCUUCAAUCCUUGGAAUCUGUUUUCAUUAGAGAUUGUUCUCAACUUAUACAAGUCUUCAACAUGGAACAAAAUAAGCAUGGACAAGAUAUUGUGCUUCCUGAACUUGGAUCACAGGUACUUCUGUAUUUACAUUUUUAAGGCUGAGCAAAGACUUGAAAAAAUUGAAAAUUAAUUUGAAUUGUAGGGUUCAAUUCAAUUUUUUAUUGAGUUUAAAUCAAAUAGAACAUGCACGUACCAUAUGACAACCAUUUAAAAAUAUAAAAAGUUAUAAUUUAAAAAUUAAAUUACAACUAUAUGUUUUUAAAAUUAGUAUAUCAAAUUAAUUUAAAAUUUUUAUUAUCAAAUACUAAUAUACUAUAAUAUUCAUAUUAUAAAUAAUUCAUGCAUAAUUAUAAAUAGUAAAAAUUAAAAUAGAGAAAUAUUAUAUAUUUAUUUUCUAUUGAUGUUAAGAUUUAAUAUAUUUAUUUAAUAUAGUAAUGAUUAUUUAAAUUAUAUUUUAGAAAAUUGUUAAAUUAAUUUACCAUUAUAUGAUUUGUUUUUGCAAGAUUACCAUAUUUUAAUUUGAUAAUUCAUGUGAGAUAUUAAAACAGUGUUUGUAUAAAUAUAUAUUGAUAUCAUUGUAGAAUGAAUUUAUUUGAGUAGUGGUUAGUUCUACCUAAUAAAUAUUAUUUGAUGGCAAGAAUUUUGGUAAAUUUAACUAAUAAAUAUUGAUAUCAUUGACGGAAUUGAGGUGCAUAUGGAAUGAAUCGAAUCAUUGCGUUAACCUCUAUAGUCUGAUGACUAUUAGAAUAACUUAUCAAAGUCCAUUUUUAGAUAUUAAUAUUUUUAUUCAAAACUUCGGGUUGGAUUAAAAAAAAUUGUUUUCAUAAUUCUUUGAUUUAAAAGUUGAACGAGUAUCAGAGUUCAAUCUCUCUCAUCGACUUUUACAAUGAAUAUUGUAUUUUUAUAUUUUAAUUGUCAUGAUUAAUGAUUUUGAAGUGGUUGGGGCAUCACAGUUUCAAAAUAUAAUAAAUGUAUCUCUUUAUAAUUGGUACAUUCAAAGAUCAAUUGAUUUCUUUUUCUUAUGUUUUGGUAAAGAAAUUCUUUAAAAAUUAAAUUAUGUUUAAUAAAUCAUAUUCCUCAUUUUUAUUUAAACAAAUAUAUUUUGUAUAAUAUUUAAUUAUGUGGCUCAUUCAUGUAGAAUCAUUGCUGGACAAAACUGAAAACUCUCCAGAUAGAGGAUUGCCAACUAUUGAAAUAUGUGUUUGCAAACACUUUAUCUCAGGGAUUUCCAUCGUUGGAAUCUCUUUACCUAAAGAAUUGCCCUCAACUACUACAAGUCUUCAGUUCGACAGAAGAAAGGGAUGUGAUUGGUGAUCACAUUCUACUUAAUGUGCCCUUUCUGAAAAAUUUAGAAGUGUCAAAUUGUCCCCAAAUCUCAUGCUUCAUUGUACAAGCUCAGCUCAUAGAGGUAUUUAGAUUGUUCGCAUUUUAUAUAUGGAUUUUGGCACUAUAGCAAAUCAGUAAAUCGAUAUGUUGCUUAGUUUAUGUGAUAAUUCAUUCCUAUUUUAUACAUAGUUUGAAAAUGAAUUCCAUUGUUCACUCUUUAAAUAAAAAUGUAUCAAGCAAUGGCCUUUUGUGUUUAAUUAAUUUGGAAGAUAUUUUAGGGGUUUAGAUUUUAAAAAUAUAUCCUUUAAAAAAAAUCAAAGAUACAUGUAGCAUUGAGAUUAGAGAAGUAGUAUUUUCUAUUACUUGGAAUAUGUAAAAUUAUGAAGACUUAUGGGUAACAUUUACUCUAGUGUGUUUUUAUGACAUUUAUUAGGAUUUCUAUGUAUGCAGGAAUUGGUUCUUAGUAACGUGGGAAAUAGCCGCCAAUUAUGCAACACUGAUGUUCCUGUAUUGAAUGAAGGCUGUAUAGUAGUUGGGAAUCAUGAAGAAGUAUUUCAAGUUCAAGGCGGGUACUCGUUCUCAAGCAUAAAAAAAUUGAAAUUGAGGAAUUUAUUUGAAGCACGGGUUAUAUGGAACGAUUUUGCUCAAGUUGCAACCCUUGAGAACCUUACAACUCUAACACUGAGUGAUUGCAAGAAGCUAAGAUAUAUUUUUUCACCUAUGAUGGCUCGCAGUUUAUCACAUUUGAAGGAUCUUUCCAUCGAGGGGUGUGAGGAAAUAGAACGACUCAUUUUAGACAAGGAUCAAGUUUCUUCAUCAUCAUCAAAUGGUGAUACUAGCCUCCAACCUAUGAGCUUUCCAAAUUUGACUGAGAUUGUUGUUAUAGAUUGUAAAAAUUUGAGCAGUCUCUUUCCUUUUGGAUUUGUUCCUGUUCUUCCAAUGCUUGAAAGUCUCAGAGUUGAAAGGAAUUCUAAAUUGGAACAAGUAUUCGAAUUAGAAGAAAAAGUGGAAGUGGUAGCUAAAGAGAAGAUGAUAUUUGAUAACUUAAAAAGGUUAUUACUUGAAGAACUACCUGGCCUCAUUCAGUUUUGUCCCAAAGGAUAUCAUUCUGUAUUCCCAAAAAUGAUGCAGUUGAAAGUAAGAGAUUGCCCUAAGUUGACUACUGGUUUCUUCAUUGAUUCACAGGAAUUUGUACAUUGCAAAACAAAGGUAUAUAUCCUACAACCCUUUAUUCCUACUUUAUUCUAUGUAAUUAUAACAAUUACAACUGAAGGCAUAACAUGCAAAAUUUUUAAUUAAAUUCCUUAAGUGUAUAUGCGUUUCAUAUUUUUUUCCUUGAUGACAUGAGAUUAAAGUUUUAGUUAUAAUUGUUUCUUUAAUUGAUUUCUAAGGUACCUCAGUUGGUUGAGCAAGAUGCGGUUGAAGAGUCUACCACUAUUCGAAAUGCAAUUUUCAAUGAGAAUAUAUAUUGGAGCCGACUUUGGGGUGAGAGUCAACUACCACACAUUGCAUGAAAGAAUGGAUGGUUUUAGGGCAGCCUUCAAAGCCAUGUUACAUCAGUAGGUAGAGC
rnacentral:lncRNA from 1 species